rnacentral:lncRNA from 1 species
AUAAAGCGCGCCCGCUGCUCCCACAAAGCCGGGCUGUCCCAGGCUGAGGCGGUUGCUCCCCUGCCGGGUGUGUUAGAAGCAAGUUAGAGGAAGAAGGUCUUGGGGACUACGGGCGCCACCGAGAACCCAUACGAGGCAGCCGCCGACGGCGGGUCGCCGGGGCGGGGCCAGAACGGCGCCAAGGCCAACCAGAACGGCGGCAAGAACUAGGGGGACGCGGGGCAGGUGCUGUGGGAGUUGGCUGGACCUGUGGGAUCGACGUCUGCGCCGUCCAGGAGCCGCCCAGGGGAGAGAGCGGAGACUCGGGAGGAGGAUGUGCGCUCCGACCCGGGCAAGGCUUCCCAUCCCUCCCUUCCUCUUCUCUCCUUCCCUCCACCUGGGCUCGGAGUCAGGAUCUGACCGCGGGCUCUGCCCAGGAAGACCGAGUUCCUUGAGAGCGACACCUAAGCGCCGGGGAAGACAGGGAUAGAAGAGACGACAGCCCUUUGAUAAGAGGGUUUUUAGACUAACUUCCACCUGUGACGAGUGCAUGGGGCCUGCGCCCUGAGAGGUUGCCUUUCCUUUUCCUCUCCCACCCUGGGGGUUUGUGGUGAUGUUAAGUUCUGUUAGGACCAAGGUGGAUCUCAGUAAGGAGGUAGAGUAGAUUUGUGAACAGCUGUCGGAGGUAGAAUCUUUGCAGACCCAGAGUGGGUGGGUGUAGACACUUUGCCAUGGGUGGUAGCUUUAUUUGUAAUCCUCCCAGUGAAAGCUUUGGGAAAUCCAGCCCUCCCAAACUCUUGCCUUUCUUGUAAGACUUUCUAAGCGCAUGGCUUUGUCGUAAGACUUCUCGUGGCCAUGUGUCUCACCCUACCGUUCGUCUCACCAAUGAACCAGAGCUGGGAUACCAGCAAAAAGGACCCAAAAGACUGUUUCACCACAAUUGAAGAGGUCGUGGACCAUCCCCCAAAAUGAAUCCCAACACUGGAAGACCAAGAGGGUUGACGUUUGCUAUCUUGAAAGCUGCAGCCCCCGUAGAGAAGAUCCUAGAGCAGAAGGAGCACAGGCUGGGCUGCCAUAGCAUGGACCCCCAAAAAGCCACUGUCAUGAAGAAAUAUCCUGUGAAGAAAAUCUUUGCAGGGCACCUGAACUCCCAAAGCCACUGAGGAGAAGGUAAGGGAGUACUUUGGUGAGUUUGGGGAGGUGAAUUUCUCCCCAGGAUAUGGUUUAUGCUCCCCACCAGCCACCAGUGGAUGCUUUUUUCUGUUUUCCUUGGCUGGUGGAGUUGUCAGUGGAGCUGCUCUCACCUCCUUUCUUGCCUUUGGAGGGCCGCCUUUUCUGAGUUCCCUUUAGGGCCUGAGCCAGGGGAAGGCAUUGGCCCUGAGCUUUGCCUGUGUUUCCAGAUGGAGGCCAUUGAACUUUCAGUGGAUCCAAAGUCUAACAAAAGACAAUGUCUUGUUUUCGUCACCCCCCAAAGAAGAGGAACCUGUGAGAAAUAUUCUGGAGAAAUUUAACACCAUCAGUGGAAGCAAGGUGAGGAGUCUCUACCUCCAUGUGCCUCCCCUCCUGCCUCUGGAGAGGUAGCCCUUUGGUUAAUGGCAACCCAAUAGGGUAACCAACCAUCCCAUUUUAGCAUUGAGAGCAUUGUGUCCUGGGAGACCCUUCCCUGGAAUGUAAAUAAUCCUGGUUUUAGCAACAAAGUGUGGAAGGUUGGAGGAAAUGCACAAAACCCGUAAGUUUUAGAGGGUCUGAAAGCAACAUUGUCUAUCAAAUGGAUACGGCACAGAUUAUUCAUCUUUACUUGUUGUCACCCAUUUGACCACUGAUACUGGCAACCAUAAUUUGUAGUUCAGAAUGGUCAUCCAUCCAUCGUUGCAUCAUUCAAAGUGAUGUGGCUUAAGUGUAUAUAAUGAUUAUUAAUAGUUCAUCUUCGACUUUGCCUGUGGAUUAAUUGGUGUGCUUUGUAACAAGAUAGUGCUAGUUUAAUUUUUUAACAUUGUGAAUAUUGUGACCAUGUUUUCUAAGAGGUCAGAUAAUGAGAAUGGUUAUAAUACCAAUGCAACCAUGACCCCAUCACUGAAGAAGAAGGCUAAACGACUAUGUAAUUUUGAUGAUGGAUGGAAGGACACAUACUACUGAACUAGGAAGGUAAAUAACCAAAACAGAGCAUACUACAUAAUAUACAGAAAAAAAUUUGAGAUUGGACAUGGUGGAGAAGGGGAUGUGCAAGCACAUAUGGAGGGCAAAUCUCACAAGUAAGAUGGGACAGGUGAAUGCUUCUAAACCAAUCAAAAAUACCUUUGUUUCCCCAAAAGACACCAAUGCUCAGUCAAAAAUAGCAGCUGCUGAAUUAGCAUGGGCAUACCAGGCAAAUAAGCCUGCAUUGUCAUAGCGUUCCCUUGAUUGCUCUAUGAAACUGAGUAAAGUUUCAUUUCCUGAUUCAAGAAUUGCAGCUAAAAUAUCCUCUGGACAAAGAAGAAGGGAAAUUUUUUGAUAACAGAUGUGUUGGCUCCUUACAGUAUAAAGCCAAUUUCUGUCAUAUCUCACCAACAAUCCUGGUUUCUACAGUACAUCAAUUUUAAGUAAUAUGCCAAAUCAUGGCAGCAAAAAUAUGUUCCCUCUAGCUGUUAGGUACUUUGACUUGAAAACAGGAGUUUCAAAUCAUCUUCUUCAUUUCUGUGAGGAUUUUAAUGAAACUGCUGAAAUCAUAAAAUAUUGUUGAUAUUUUGUCUAAAUACAAACUAGACUUAGCUCAUCUAUCUGUGUAUUCGUCAGACAGUAUAGAUGUAAAAUUUUGGCAAAUUGCAUUCAGUCUACAAACUUCUUACCAAAGAAAAUGAAAAGAUCUUAUCCAUUCAAUGCCUUGUACAUCUUAUAUACAACACUGCUAAAAAGGGAUGUGAGUUGCUUAAAUGUGACAUUGAGACUUUCAUAAUGAAAGCUUUUGGUUACUUUUCAAUUUCCUCAAAAAGUGCAAAAGCACUUAUGGAGAUUUUUGACUUCACAGAAAUGGAAGGUAACCUCUUUAGACGUGUGCCUGCAAGAUGGCUGUCAUUGUAAGUGAGCCAUAGAAACGAUGCUAAAAUGUUGGCCUGCCAUAAGAUCAUAUUUUCAAAGGACAAGAAUAAUGUCCUUUGACAUUGUUUGAAAUCUGAAAGGAGAAAAAAAUCAAGAAUCUGAAGUGGGCCUUAAAAAAAUCAGUAAGUCCCUUGUGACUCUGAUUUUUAUGAAUCUGUCUCUCAAAAGCCAGGGUGCCCCCAGAAGAACUGAGACAAACUGAGUUUCUGAACAUUUGAAAAUGAGGAGCAGGCUCAGGAUCCACAGGGUGUAACCAUCCCGUGAGGCCCUGCCUGAGCAGCCAGCCAGUCAGUGAGGCUCUUCACCUUACUUCCAUUUCUCUGAUUCCAUCUAUGUACAACUUACGAAAACUUGCAUUAUUAUAGACUGGGAGUUCUUAAAUUGGAAUCUGUGAAUCUAAAGGGGCCAGAGGAUAGAAAUCAGGAAAUCUGAAAACUUCGAUGGAAAAAAGUUUUUAUUUAUUUCCAUCAGGAAAAUAGGCAACAAACCACAGCAGUAUUAGUACCUGUGUCUCUGUCAUCACUAGGAAUCACAGAUAUCCACGUUACAGAUAUCUUAAAAUAUUUAUGUACAGCACCACUCUGAAAUUAUGGUAAUAAUUAGAUCCACCCCCUAGGUCUUGUAAUCUUUAAUAUGUUAAUAAAGAAGCACAUCUAUUAUGUGACAGAUUUAAAUGUUUAAGAAUUUGAUUUCAAUGAAAUUGCAUUUCAAUAAAAUUGGCUUCCUUUGC